rnacentral:rRNA from 1 species
UACAGAGGUCCCAAGCGUUGUUCGGAUUCACUGGGCGUAAAGGGUGCGUAGGUGGUAAGGUAAGUCAGGUGUGAAAUCUCCGGGCUCAACCCGGAAAUGGCAUUCGAAACUGCCUUGCUAGAGGAUUUGAGGGGGGACUGGAAUACUUGGUGUAGCAGUGAAAUGCGUAGAUAUCAAGUGGAACACCAGUGGCGAAGGCGAGUCCCUGGAAAAUUCCUGACACUGAGGCACGAAAGCUAGGGGAGCAAACAGG